AAAAAUUGUUGUGUGCUAUUAAAUGGUAUUUCUCUUUAUCGUCUUGUAUAAAUUAAGGAUAGUUAUUCGUCGCUCUGUGUGCUGGUUUUAUGUGGCUUAUCACUGAGUAAGCAUGGUGUGCUCGAAGAGAUGUUCAAGAGGACAUAUGGUUUCAUUCUCAGUAUCGAAGAUCUGUCACCGAACAUCGGAGCCUUUUGCUAAGUAUAAAGUCACAUGGAAUAAGAAAUCUCUGCUUUUCUACUAACACUAAUUGAUAUUCUUCUCUCUUUCACUUCUUUGCUGAAGUUUUCGACUUCUUCAGAAGUUUCUUCCUAAUAGUUUUCCACGUAAAUAUUCUGUUUAUGUUACUGCCCUUGCUUCCUGGCUUUCUUUCAUCUACUUAAUUAGCGAUCUCCUCAAUUAUUAUUAAAUCUUACCCUUCUGUAAGUACCUUAAUUCUCAGUGAACUAAUUAUUAUUUUUUCUUCUGAAGAAUUGUAUUCAUCAAUGUUAACCUUGCCUAGGUUGGAGAUUCAGCUUUAUAUUUUAGCUUAUGGGCACUGUUCAUGAAUGAAUUGGCAGGUAUGAAGUUCUCGUUCUUCUUCUUCUUCUGUGUAUAUCUUGGGGUUCUCUCCACAGUCCCGUGAUGCACAAUCUCUGGAUAUGGCGUGUAACUAUCUUAAGCUCAAAUUCAUAACCCAAUUCAUCACAACAUUAGCAACCAAAUGUUCCAGUGAUCUCAAGUUGAGAACAGCUUUUGAAUUCAAAACCUUGCUAUUUUUAUUCUUCAUUUCAGGGCACCGGUAAUGCCAAUUUCCACUUCGGAAACGCGAUUGGCUAUGCAUGCUUUCAUGUAAAAUAUUGGCCUGAAUGAAUUUAGAGAUUCAGUACUAUAAUAGUGACUGGGAGUUUACAUUCAUGGAGAUCACUAUUUGAUAUGAUCCAUUGGGAUGAUAUUAUCAGUUCUUGAUUAAAGGAUGUUGGGGUUUUACGAUUUUACAGAUCGUUCUCGUGGUUGACAGCGUAGGCGCAAUGCUGAACCAUGACCGGGCGCUGAAGAAAUGUAACUCGAACCAUCAAAAAGUCAAGAACUAAGCUGUUUACAGGUCAAGCACCACACGUAAAGAAAAUAGUUUAGUCUUAAGCUUGUAGGUGCGAUUAAAGCAAACGCUUAACGAUGGCCACACAUGUGUUUGUGAUUUAUACGAAUCACAUCUUCAGACUUCAGUGCCUUGCGAUUAACGUAAUGACUGAUUUGCACUUCGUAACGAGACAACAAUUUGAGUAGUGUUUGUCUAACUGUCUUAGUCUUCAUCAUUCAUUUUAUACAGAAGUAUAAACUAAAUCUAGUUUCUUAUCGUAGUUGUAAAAUAAUACUUAGUACAUAUACCUGACAUAUCCACUUGUGUUUCAAAAGAAAGUUGUAAAUUUAAAAGACCAAAGCCUAUAGGGAUAUGCAUGGGCAUUCGAGUUGGGUCCGGGUCCUUAACAUUCAAAUUCAACUAGGUACUUGGAAAGUUUUGGUUCAGUUUCAAGUUGAGUUUGGAUCGUUUAAGGUAAACAAGUUUAUACAUGUAAAAAACCUCUAUAUUCGGAUACAAAUAGUCUCGGUUCAGUUUUUGGGUCUUGUGGAUUCUUUCUGGGUCAAUUUCUUUGUAAUUUUUGGGUAAGUUUUAUAAAUUUCGAAUAUAGCCCGGUCCAUUUUAUCAUAUACAUGAAUUUACACCUGAAAAAUUCACUUUUUACAAUAAAUAUUAGGCUAGGAUUAUUAAAAUUCGAGUCCAUUGUUAGCCGAUCAGAUCUAGGGUUCGGUUCGGUUUGGAUCUAAAACCCUCAAAUCUUCCAUAAUAAGACCCCAUGAAAUAAAAUGACAUUAUCCAUACACCUGAUCCAGACCAAUUUUUAUGGAUCAGUUCGGGUAAAAUGUCCAUGCCUAUAUAGGGACAUGGAGUAUAUGCCACCAAAUAUGUCUCGUUUUGCCUUUUAUUUUGUUUUCCUGGUUUUAAAAUAUGAAUAUUUGUAAAUUAUGAGUUACCUUCCUAUCCCAACAGUUCUGAACGUUUAAGAUGUUGUUCGUUUGGAUAUCUGAACAUAGUCUCUAAACGUAAUAAUAUAUAAACAUGUUAUUUAUAUAGAACAUUUGCAUACUGUAUCUGGAUAAGACCUGUCUCAAAAGUAAAAUAGGCCCUAAUUAAGCUAAAGAAAAAUGGGACUUAUUUAUUCAAACAAAAUAUAAAUUUUUAAAAAUUAAACUCCAAUCUAGGCUAGAAUUUUUUUUUAAAAAAAACUCGCAAUGCACCCCAUGCAUAUGCAUACAGCCGGGCUUGAUAAACUAUCUGAUAAACACGGAACUUUAAUGUUAAUGAGUCAAUAUUAACUAUUCCCUCUGUUUUAAAAUGAUCCAUGUUUUAAAAAUUGCUUCAAAAGAUAUAUUUCUUACAUUUUCAUUUCAUUUUAUUACGUAAUAAUGGUAAAUUAUAAAUUUAGAGUAAAUUAAUUGUGUUUAUUGAAUUUUGAUUGGUAACAUUUGUAGGAAAUAAUUAAUCACUAAAAUCAUGCAUUUAUAUCAACAUUUAAUAUGUUUAAAACUC